AUGAACAAUGAGGCCUGUUAACACACUGGCAGCUGAAGCUUAAAACUGUUUUUAAUUUAAAUUGACAAACAAGAGGCUCAUCUCCAGAAAUUCCUAAGCUAGUGCAAUAUUGCCAAGGAAGUUUCAAUAUCCAAAGAUGAUCAUUCUCCCUGCUGAUCCAAAUGUAGCAAAGCUGGAUCUAAUAGUUCCACUCUAAGGAAAGCAAAGAUAAUAAUCUGAUUUAGACAUUACAGAGCAUUUGUGAGAAUGACACCAGUAGAGUACUCCCGCGGUUUCUACAAGACUUGUAAAACCAUCUUGUUGUUUACAAUCCACCCAAAAGGUGGAAUAAAGGAGUUGGGGAGAGACUACACACCUCCUCUGCCAAAAAAAAAAAUCAAGAUAACAGCAAGGAGUGACAAGAUUCAACUCGUUUGCACCUUCUCCUCCAUCCUCACCCCCAGAGAAAUCACUUUAAUCCUUCAGUUGCAGAAAACAUGUUGGUGGUCUACUUUCCUUAAGAAAUACACUUUUGAGGAAAUCUUUACCCUCUAUAAAACUGUCUUCUUAAAUCUUGAACUUGGGAAUUCUUGAACUUGGGAACUCAAACUCAAGGUCAAGGAUCAUUUAGGCAACCCUUAAGGCCAGAACUCCCUUCUUUAGGUCAAGUGGACUCUAUAUGUCUGUUUCUGAUAUGCAUGUUUUUUUUUUUUUAAUUCAGAUUAAUUUUCUUGUAACACCUUGUAUUGCUUCCCUUUAAAUUUUUUCCAAUUAAUUCGCAAUUUAUUUUUCUCUCCAUCUAAUCACUCCCUUCCCCAUUAGAAAAAUAAAAUUAAAGCCUUGCAAUAAAUAUGUAUAAUU
rnacentral:lncRNA from 1 species